AGUUCGGAAUUACUGGGCUUAAAGAGUUCGUAGGUAGGUUGAAAAAGUUAGUGGUGAAAUCCCAGAGCUUAACUCUGGAACUGCCAUUAAAACUUUCAGCUAGAGAAUGAUAGAGGAAAGCAGAAUUUCUAGUGUAGAGGUGAAAUUCGUAGAUAUUAGAAAGAAUACCAAUUGCGAAGGCAGCUUUCUGGAUCAUUACUGACACUGAGGAACGAAAGCAUGGGUAGCGAAGAGGAUUAGAUACCCUCGUAGUCCAUGCCGUAAACGAUGUGUGUUAGACGUUGGAAAUUUAUUUUCAGUGUCGCAGGGAAACCGAUAAACACACCGCCUGGGGAGUACGACCGCAAGGUUAAAACUCAAAUGAAUUGACGGGGGCCCGCACAAGCGGUGGAGCAUGUGGUUUAAUUCGAUGCAACGCGAAGAACCUUACCUACUCUUGACAUACUAGAAACUUUUCAGAGAUGAAUUGGUGCCUUCGGGAAUCUAGAUACAGGUGCUGCAUGGCU
rnacentral:rRNA from 1 species